rnacentral:rRNA from 1 species
GGGGAAUCUUCCGCAAUGGACGAAAGUCUGACGGAGCAACGCCGCGUGAACGAUGACGGCCUUCGGGUUGUAAAGUUCUGUUAUACGGGACGAAUGGUACGACGGUCAAUACCCGUCGUAAGUGACGGUACCGUAAGAGAAAGCCACGGCUAACUACGUGCCAGCAGCCGCGGUAAUACGUAGGUGGCAAGCGUUGUCCGGAAUUAUUGGGCGUAAAGGGCGCGCAGGCGGCGUCGUAAGUCGGUCUUAAAAGUGCGGGGCUUAACCCCGUGAGGGGACCGAAACUGCGAUGCUAGAGUAUCGGAGAGGAAAGCGGAAUUCCUAGUGUAGCGGUGAAAUGCGUAGAUAUUAGGAGGAACACCAGUGGCGAAAGCGGCUUUCUGGACGACAACUGACGCUGAGGCGCGAAAGCCAGGGGAGCAAAC